GACGACCGGCGCACGGGUGAGUAACACGUAUCCAACCUUCCCAUUACUCGGGGAUAGCCUUUCGAAAGAAAGAUUAAUACCCGAUAGUACUUAAUUAUGGCAUCAUGAUUAAGUUAAAGAUUUAUUGGUAAUGGAUGGGGAUGCGUUCCAUUAGAUUGUUGGUGAGGUAACGGCUCACCAAGUCUUCGAUGGAUAGGGGUUCUGAGAGGAAGGUCCCCCACAUUGGUACUGAGACACGGACCAAACUCCUACGGGAGGCAGCAGUGAGGAAUAUUGGUCAAUGGGCGAGAGCCUGAACCAGCCAAGUAGCGUGAAGGAUGAAGGUCCUAUGGAUUGUAAACUUCUUUUAUAGUAGAAUAAAGUGAGCCACGUGUGGUUUUUUGUAUGUAUACUAUGAAUAAGGAUCGGCUAACUCCGUGCCAGCAGCCGCGGUAAUACGGAGGAUCCGAGCGUUAUCCGGAUUUAUUGGGUUUAAAGG
rnacentral:rRNA from 1 species